rnacentral:lncRNA from 1 species
GAAGAUCCUGAUUAUUAUAAAACCGUUACAUAAAUUUAAGACAAGUCGAGUGUUGGCGGCAACAAUGCUGAUACUAACUAUUUACCUUUUUUGUUUAACAUUCUUGAAACAAGUUAACGAGUACAAUACCAAACUAACUCCAGAGGUAUUACAUGGUUGAACCGGUCGAACCAUCUGAGUAUUGCUUUUGCACUCUUCCUCAAUCAAUGCUCCAAUUUCUACAUUGAC